GAGACUGUACUUCUCAGGAUCAUUUCUGUAGUACGGUUUCCCGGUGGGGGUUCCACCUUGCUCGCCAAAGCCACCCGCGAUGACGAGCAGAGCGUCCGUCCCCUG
rnacentral:snoRNA from 1 species